CAUGCAAACUCCACACAGAGAUGGCCCAGUGUGGAAUUGAACUCAGGUCUCCUAGCUGUGAUGCCUGAGCACUAACCACUCCUCCGCCGUACAGAAGUGGGUCUGUAUUUACUGGUAAUUAAAAUCAGGAGUGCGGGAUGCUGACCUCUGGGUUCAAACUGGUGGUACUCUUUGGUCUUGAGCAGCGGGUGUGAGAUCCACAGCCAAGGGUGAUGCUUCCUCAGCUGGGGGAUCAGGUAGUGUGUGACGAAGCCCACCGUCCCGGCCAGCGCGUACAACACGAUGGUCACAAAGGGCUGCACAUCCACACAUGUGAGACGAUAUGGUUAGAAGAGAUAGACGGAUGAAAGGGUGAGAUCAUAAGUUGCACCUUUAGCGAAAGGAAGACGGUGCUAGCAGUGAUGGCGAAGGUCAGAAUGUAGGCCAGUGAGCACACGAUGGCAUCGGACAGCAGAAUCUCUUUCUGGAGAACGCAAAACAAAGAAAGCGGUGAUGAUUCAUGUUUUUGGCCUUACGUUGCGCUCAGCGUUGCCCACCAUGGAGUUCUGUAGCUUCUUUGGCAGAGGGUCUUCAAUGUCCGCGUCUUCCCCUUCGUCUUCCUCGCUCUCCGCCAACGUGGGCAUGACUUUUGACUUAAUCAGCGACCUAACGAGAGCCGAAAUGAAAUCAACCCGCAUGAUAUUUACUUACAAAUCGCGUCCACACGCUUACAGCAUGACAGAGGGGUCACUGCUCUGCCGGCUGAGGUGGUAGGAGAAGACUACCAGAAGGCCACAGAAGCUGGAGAACAAGGCAGGCGUGUGCUGCUCAUCCCAGGGCUCCUGCAACACAACAACAGGUAGAUGCUGAAGGUGUUGACUUGCGGGAAAAGGCCCACCAGGAAAGUGACGGGGAAGCAGUGAGUGAAACCUAAUUCAAAAACAACGUCAAUCAAAGUGAAGCACAUGUGACUGGAAGUUGGAAGUGUUUGUCCGGAUCAUGCGUCUCCGUACCCACGAGCAGGUUUUGCAAGAAGCGCAGGGCAUCGUGGCAACCGAUGGUGACGCCAUACAUGGUGGAGAUGGGCAGGUCCUUCCUCUGCAGGAGGUGCUCCAGCAUCCAGAUGAGAGAGCAGAAGAUGCAGAAGUAGGCCGCCCGGCUGUAGGCCACCAGCUGGUUGUGACCCUGGAGAUGAACAGAACUGGAAGACCCAGAAGUCUUUGAAGCAGCCGCCAUUGAGGAGCACAAAUCCAAGGAAGGAAACCAGGAAUGCCAUGAAAAUAGCGACCACAUUCUCCACCACAUUGUGAUUCCUGCACAAAUAACAGAUAUCACCAAUGCACGUAGGAUAUGGACACGAUAUGAAUACCUGGAAGAUCUCAGGGUGCGUCCUUCGUGGCCUAAGUCGAUGUGAAGGAAUAAUGCGUCGCUGGAAAGGACAGUCGGCAUGACCGCCCGCCAUGCUCUCCUGGCACUCCGAGUUGGAAGAUGUCGACAGAAGGUCACUGAACACACACACACACAAACUGACGUGAAUAUGUUAGUUACCAAAGGGCCAUUUUUACUAAAUAAAAUGUUGGCGCCCGUAUUGGUAUUUAAAGAGUGCUCAGCAGUACCACAUGUUGCCAGUGAUCAACUCGGCCCCCAGCGGCAAGUUGAGGGCUCGCUCCGCAUACAACUUCCGGGGCCUUUCUCCUGGGUAACAAAUAUGCAACUUUGAGAAGAAUGUCCGUUUGUUUUUGUUUUUUUUAAAAAGAGAACCAAGGGUUUUUUACAGUUUACAUCUUACGGUGCACAGUGUGGAAGGUGUACGCUUCUUCCUUGUUGGUAGCUUCCGGUCGACAGAUGACCUGCAGCAUGGAGCUUUCCGACUGAGACGUUUGGGAAGGCAAAGAGUCGUAAUCCGGAUCUUUUUCUCUGUCCGUCUGCGGACUGGCGGCAUAAACAAAGCAGGCAGUGUAAUGAUAAUGUUAAUGUUAAUGUUAAUGUUAAUGUUAAUGUUAAUGUUAAUGUUAAUGUUAAUGUUAAUGUUAAUGUUAAUGUUAAUGUUAAUGUUAAUGUUAAUGUUAAUGGUAAUGGUAAUGGUAAUGGUAAUGGUAAUGGUAAUGGUAAUGGUAAUGGUAAUGGUAAUGGUUUAAUUUCAUUUGAACAUGCAUCAGAUUACAAUUGAAUGCAUCACAUAAUCAGUUCACAGUUCCACAUGUCCAAAAGGAGUAGGAAGAAGCAAAGCUUAUUAAAUCCUACCCCUCCAUCUGGUACUUUUACAAUCAGUAACUGUUACAUUUGUUCACUUCCUGCUUUCCUAAUAUAAUAAAAACUUUUUUUAUUGUAUUUUAUUAUUUAGAAUAAUUCUUUAUAAUUUUUCCACAUUUUUUUAUAAUUUUUAUAAUUUAAUUUUUUUAAAUAAUUUUUAUAAAAAAACAUUUUGUCACGUACCGAAGUACAAGGUGAUAUGGCCAUACAAUGACAUAAUGGGUACCAUAGUAAGUGUCAAUAUAGUGAUAUAUAUAGCACAUCAUGACUGGUUCAAGACUCUUCAUCCUUGUAUUUAGCAAACAUCAACUGCUUGUAUUGUUUCUUGAAUUGGCUCAUCGUUGUGCAUUGUUUGAUUUCCUUACUCAAUCCAUUCCAUAGUUUGAUUCCACAUACUGAAAUGCUAUGGCUUUUUAACAUAGUCCUAGCAUAUAAGUGUUUCAAAUGUACUUCUUCCCUGAGAUCAUAUUUCUCCUCUCUUGUAGAGAAGUAUUAGAUGACAUUUUUAGCUAAUUGGUUAUUUUUAGCCUUAUGCAUUAUUUUAGCUGUUUGAAGAUGAACUAUAUCAGUAAGUUGUUUAGAAAUGUUGCUAAGGAAGUGUGUAUUGUGUAUGUGAAAGUGUUUGUUUGUACCUGUCUGGUGAGACGAUGGGAAUGUGUGUAGGCGGGACGGACCUCAGCGUGCCAGGAGCCAGACUAGUAGGCGGUUUGGGUCGCUCCGCUUUUGUGUCUGUGUUGGUGUCUUUGGGCUCAUCUGCUCUGGAAGCUGCACUCUGAUUCCCUGCAAUGCAUUUUGGGAGCAUUGUGUUUGUAGAUGGAAAAUAUACAAUAUGAUUCCUUGAUGUUAAAGACACAUGAGGUGCAGCAACUGACCCAUUUGUUGUUUUUCCGUCUCCGCCGAGGCUCCCGCGCCAUCUUUGAGCUCCGGCCCUUCCUCUUCCUUAGCGCUGGCUCCGCUACCUCUGCUGCUGAGCGACUCCAACAUGGAAACAAACUCCAAGAAGUUGGAUUCGUUGGGAAUCUGGCCCUCCUUUGCCUCCAGGUCUGACUUGGAGGUGGUCAUGGUUGACUGGCAGAAAGACAGACAUCUUAGCUUUGUGUUAUACACUAACGCUCAAAAGUUUGGGAUCACUUGCAAAUGUCUUUGUUUUCCAUUAAUUCAUUCAUUUUCUACCGUUUUUCCUCACGG